AAAACUCAAAUGAAUUGACGGGGGCCCGCACAAGCGGUGGAGCAUGUGGUUUAAUUCGAUGCAACGCGAAGAACCUUACCUACUCUUGACAUCCAGAGAACUUAGCAGAGAUGGAUUGGUGCCUUCGGGAACUCUGAGACAGGUGCUGCAUGGCUGUCGUCAGCUCGUGUUGUGAAAUGUUGGGUUAAGUCCCGCAACGAGCGCAACCCUUAUCCUUUGUUGCCAGCGGUCAGGCCGGGAACUCAAAGGAGACUGCCAGUGAUAAACUGGAGGAAGGUGGGGAUGACGUCAAGUCAUCAUGGCCCUUACGAGUAGGGCUACACACGUGCUACAAUGGCGCAUACAAAGAGAAGCGACCUCGCGAGAGCAAGCGGACCUCAUAAAGUGCGUCGUAGUCCGGAUUGGAGUCUGCAACUCGACUCCAUGAAGUCGGAAUCGCUAGUAAUCGUAGAUCAGAAUGCUACGGUGAAUACGUUCCCGGGCCUUGUACACACCGCCCGUCACACCAUGGGAGUGGGUUGCAAAAGAAGUAGGUAGCUUAACCUUCGGGAGGGCGCUUACC
rnacentral:rRNA from 1 species